CUGCCCACCACAGCACCCAAGGCUAUACAGCACCUCAACACGUGCUCAAAACCUGAUCAAAACACUCAUGCACGGUGUAAAGUCAAGGUUUGAUUCAGAUUUGGCUCCUGCUGGGAAAAUUGGAAUGGAAGGCACACCAACAAAUGUUAUCAAGCAGUUAAGCUUUAUGGAUGAUUCCCAUGUUGAGAAGCUGCUAAUGAAUCAGCAAGAUGCUUUGUUGAUUACUUAUGAUGGCAGAUCGCUGCUGCACCACGCCAUCCUGUCCGGCAACCUGGCCGUUGUGUGUGCCAUUCUUCAGCGAGGUGGAUUCUCCGAUGAGCCGGACUCAGAAGGCAAGUAGCUGAUGGACCAG